rnacentral:rRNA from 1 species
AGAGCGAACGCUGGCGGCAGGCCUAACACAUGCAAGUCGAGCGCCGUAGCAAUACGGAGCGGCAGACGGGAGAGUAACACGUGGGAACGUGCCCUUCAGUUCGGAACAACCCAGGGAAACUUGGGCUAAUACCGGAUACGUCCGUAAGGAGAAAGAUUUAUCGCUGAAGGAUCGGCCCGCGUCUGAUUAGCUAGUUGGUGAGGUAACGGCUCACCAAGGCGACGAUCAGUAGCUGGUCUGAGAGGAUGAUCAGCCUCACUGGGACUGAGACACGGCCCAGACUCCUACGGGAGGCAGCAGUGGGAAUAUUGGACAAUGGGCGCAAGCCUGAUCCAGCCAUGCCGCGUGGGUGAUGAAGGCCCUAGGGUUGUAAAGCCCUUUCGGCGGGAAGAUAAUGACGGUACCCGCAGAAGAAGUCCCGGCUAACUUCGCGCCAGCAGCCGC